GGAAAAUUGGGGGGAUCUAAUGGAUACUGGGAUUGUAUACUCUUCCGUACUUUGUUCCAAUUUAAAAUCAAACUAGACCAAAUGCACUUAUUGAUGAUUUACUCACCGGGAUAGACUUUUUCUUCUGUGUCUAUACUGGUCCAUUUUCAACGUCAUACAA
rnacentral:snoRNA from 1 species